rnacentral:rRNA from 1 species
AAGUUUGAUGCUGGCUCAGAAUGAACGCUAGCGGCAGGCCUAACACAUGCAAGUCGAGGGGUAACAGGGAGCUUGCUCCGCUGACGACCGGCGCACGGGUGCGCACCGCGUAUGGAACCUGCCCUCUACAGGGGAAUAGCCCAGGGAAACUUGGAUUAAUGCCCCGUAGUACCGUUAUAUGGCAUCAUAUUACGGUUAAAGCCUUCGGGCGGUAGAGGAUGGCCAUGCGUCCCAUUAGCUAGUUGGUAGGGUAACGGCCUACCAAGGCUACGAUGGGUAGGGGCCCUGAGAGGGGGAUCCCCCACACUGGUACUGAGACACGGACCAGACUCCUACGGGAGGCAGCAGUGAGGAAUAUUGGACAAUGGAGGAGACUCUGAUCCAGCCAUGCCGCGUGCAGGAAGAAUGCCCUAUGGGUAGUAAACUGCUUUUAUACGGGAAGAAAAAGGGGCACGUGUGCCCUGUUGACGGUACCGUAAGAAUAAGGACCGGCUAACUCCGUGCCAGCAGCCGCGGUAAUACGGAGGGUCCGAGCGUUAUCCGGAAUUAUUGGGCUUAAAGGGUCCGUAGGCGGGCCGGUAAGUCAGGGGUGAAAGUCUGUAGCUCAACUAUAGAACUGCCUUUGAUACUGCCGGUCCUGAGUCAUGGUGAAGUUGGCGGAAUAUGUGGUGUAGCGGUGAAAUGCAUAGAUAUCACAUAGAACACCGAUUGCGAAGGCAGCUGACUAACCAUGAACUGACGCUGAUGGACGAAAGCGUGGGGAGCGAACAGGAUUAGAUACCCUGGU